AACGAACGCUGGCGGCAUGCCUAACACAUGCAAGUCGAACGAAGCCUUCGGGCUUAGUGGCGCACGGGUGCGUAACGCGUGGGAAUCUGCCCUUUGGCUCGGAAUAACAGUUGGAAACGACUGCCAAUACCGGAUGAUGACGAAAGCCCAAAGAUUUAUCGCCAGAGGAUGAGCCCGCGUAGGAUUAGCUAGUUGGUGUGGUAAAGGCGUACAAAGGCGACGAUCCUUAGCUGGUCUGAGAGGAUGAUCAGCCACACUGGGACUGAGACACGGCCCAGACUCCUACGGGAGGCAGCAGUGGGGAAUAUUGGACAAUGGGCGAAAGCUUGAUCCAGCAAUGCCGCGUGAGUGAUGAAGGCCCUAGGGUUGUAAAGCUCUUUUACCCGGGAUGAUAAUGACAGUACCGGGAGAAUAAGCCCCGGCUAACUCCGUGCCAGCCGCCGCCGUAA
rnacentral:rRNA from 1 species